UACGGAGGGUGCAGGCGUUAUCCGGAUUCACUGGGUUUAAAGGGUGCGUAGGUGGGCAGGUAAGUCAGUGGUGAAAUCUCCGGGCUUAACCCGGAAACUGCCAUUGAUACUAUCUGUCUUGAAUACCGUGGAGGUGAGCGGAAUAUGUCAUGUAGCGGUGAAAUGCUUAGAUAUGACAUAGAACACCAAUUGCGAAGGCAGCUCACUACACGAAUAUUGACACUGAGGCACGAAAGCGUGGGGAUCAAACAGG
rnacentral:rRNA from 1 species